CCUACGGGUGGCAGCAGUAGGGAAUUUUGCGCAAUGGGCGAAAGCCUGACGCAGCAACACCGCGUGAAUGUUAAGCCCUUCGGGGUGUAAAGUUCUGUCAAUAGGGACGAAUUUUGACUGUACCUAUAAAGGAAGCACCGGCUAACUCCGUGCCAGCAGCCGCGGUAAUACGGAGGAUGCGAGCGUUAUCCGGAUUUAUUGGGUUUAAAGGGUGCGUAGGCGGAAUGCCAAGUCAGCGGUAAAAUCGCGGGGCUCAACCUCGCUCCGCCGUUGAAACUGGCGUUCUUGAGUGGGCGAGAAGUAUGCGGAAUGCGUGGUGUAGCGGUGAAAUGCAUAGAUAUCACGCAGAACUCCGAUUGCGAAGGCAGCAUACCGGCGCCCAACUGACGCUGAAGCACGAAAGCGUGGGUAUCGAACAGGAUUAGAUACCCUAGUAGUC
rnacentral:rRNA from 1 species